GGUCAAAUCAUCAUGCCCCUUACGUCUUGGGCUACACACGUACUACAAUGGCCGACACAAAGCGAAGCAAGCCGGCGACGGUAAGCAAAGCGCAAAAAAGCGGCCUCAGUUCGGAUUGCAGUCUGCAACUCGACUGCAUGAAGUCGGAAUCGCUAGUAAUCGCGGAUCAGCAUGCCGCGGUGAAUACGUUCCCGGGGUUU
rnacentral:rRNA from 1 species